CACGUAGUUAGCCGGGGCUUCUUAGUCAGGUACCGUCUUUUUUCGUCCCUACUGAUAGAGCUUUACAUACCGAAAUACUUCCUCGCUCACGCGGCGUCGCUGCAUCAGGGUUUCCCCCAUUGUGCAAUAUUCCCCACUGCUGCCUCCCGUAGGAGUUUGGGCCGUGUCUCAGUCCCAAUGUGGCCGGUCGCCCUCUCAGGCCGGCUACUGAUCGUUGCCUUGGUGGGCUUUUACCCCUCCAACUAGCUAAUCAGACGCGGACUCAUCCUGCACCGAAUUUCUUUUCCUACUCCCUCAUGCGAGGCUGUAGGCUUAUGCGGUAUUAGCAGCCAUUUCUAGCUGUUGUCCCCCUGUGCAGGGCAGAUUAUCCACGUAUUACUCACCCGUCCGCCACUCAGCAGGAAGGUGCAAGCACCCUCCUGCUUCGUUCGACUUGCAUGUGUUAAGCACGCCGCCAGCGUUCAUCCUGAGCCAGGAUCAAACUCU
rnacentral:rRNA from 1 species